rnacentral:tRNA from 1 species
GGGGGGAUCGCUCAGUGUUAGAGCGCGUGCUUAGCGUGCACGAGGUCCUGGGUUCAACCCCUAGUACCUCCG